GCAGGUGGAGAUGCAGUUGCUGUACUGAAUGUACAGAGGAAAGUCCGGACACCACAGGGUGUGAUGGUCGCUAACGGCGACCCGUCGUGAGGCGAGGGAAAGUGCCACAGAAAACAGACCGCCGAAGAUCCCUUAAAAAGGGUAGUCGGUAAGGGUGAAAAGGUGGGGUAAGAGCCCACCGCUCCUUCCGUGAGGAUAGGAGGCAUGGCAAACCCCAUCAGGUGCAAUGCCAAAUAGACAGGCGUUUGAGGGUGACCCGCCCGAUGCCUGCGGGUAGGCAGCAGGAUUUAGUCAGCAAUGACUAAACAAGAUGAAUAACUGCAUAAAACAGAAUCCGGCUUAUCUCCACCUGCUGAU
rnacentral:RNase_P_RNA from 2 species